rnacentral:rRNA from 1 species
AGAGUUUGAUCCUGGCUCAGAACGAACGCUGGCGGCGUGGCUAAAGCAUGCAAGUCGAACGAGGUGUGUGGAAGGUAACGGAAGCACACUUAGUGGCGAACGGGUGAGGAAUAGAUAGGUAACGUACCCUGGACUCAGGAAUAGCGGCGGAACUUCGGUUCCUUUGCGAAAGUGCCGGUAAUACCUGAUGACACCCCCGACACUCAUGUGUUGGGGGUCAAAGGUCCGCCGGUCCGGGAGCGGCCUAUCUCCUAUCAGCUUGUUGGUGGGGUAAUGGCCUACCAAGGCUUCGACAGGUACCAGGCGUGAGAGCGUGACCUGGCACAUCGGGACUGAGACACUGCCCGGACAUCUACGGAUGGCUGCAGCAACGAAUAUUCCGCAAUGGGCGCAAGCCUGACGGAGCGACGCCGCGUGUAGGAUGAAGCACCUCGGUGUGUAAACUACUGUCAGGGGUUAGGAAGAAAGUGACCAACCCCACAGGAAGCCUCGGCUAACUCCGUGCCAGCAGCCGCGGUAAUACGGAGGAGGCAAGCGUUGUUCGGAAUCACUGGGCUUAAAGAGUGCGUAGGCGGGAAAGCAGGUGUCGGGUGAAAUCCCUCGGCUCAACCGAGGAACUGCUCGGCAAACCGCUUUUCUUGAGGCUAGC